UAAGUUAGAAAGGGCGCACGGUGGAUGCCUUGACACUAGGAGUCGAUGAAGGACGGGACUAACGCCGAUAUGCUUCGGGGAGCUGUAAGUAAGCUUUGAUCCGAAGAUUUCCGAAUGGGGAAACCCACCAUACGUAAUGGUAUGGUAUCCUUAUCUGAAUACAUAGGGUAAGGAAGACAGACCCAGGGAACUGAAACAUCUAAGUACCUGGAGGAAGAGAAAGCAAAUGCGAUUUCCUGAGUAGCGGCGAGCGAAACGGAACAUAGCCCAAACCAAGAGGCUUGCCUCUUGGGGUUGUAGGACAUUCUAUACGGAGUUACAAAGGAACGAGGUAGACGAAGCGACCUGGAAAGGUCCGUCGUAGAGGGUAACAACCCCGUAGUCGAAACUUCGUUCUCUCUUGAAUGUAUCCUGAGUACGGCGGAACACGUGAAAUUCCGUCGGAAUCUGGGAGGACCAUCUCCCAAGGCUAAAUACUCCCUAGUGAUCGAUAGUGAACCAGUACCGUGAGGGAAAGGUGAAAAGCACCCCGGAAGGGGAGUGAAAGAGAUCCUGAAACCGUGUGCCUACAAAUAGUCAGAGCCCGUUAACGGGUGAUGGCGUGCCUUUUGUAGAAUGAACUGGCGAGUUACGAUCCCGUGCGAGGUUAAGCUGAAGAGGCGGAGCCGCAGCGAAAGCGAGUCUGAAUAGGGCGUUUAGUACGUGGUCGUAGACCCGAAACCAGGUGAUCUACCCAUGUCCAGGGUGAAGUUCAGGUAACACUGAAUGGAGGCCCGAACCCACGCACGUUGAAAAGUGCGGGGAUGAGGUGUGGGUAGCGGAGAAAUUCCAAUCGAACCUGGAGAUAGCUGGUUCUCCCCGAAAUAGCUUUAGGGCUAGCCUUAAGUGUAAGAGUCUUGGAGGUAGAGCACUGAUUGGACUAGGGGUCCUCAUCGGAUUACCGAAUUCAGUCAAACUCCGAAUGCCAAUGACUUAUCCUUAGGAGUCAGACUGCGAGUGAUAAGAUCCGUAGUCAAAAGGGAAACAGCCCAGACCGCCAGCUAAGGUCCCAAAGUGUGUAUUAAGUGGAAAAGGAUGUGGAGUUGCUUAGACAACUAGGAUGUUGGCUUAGAAGCAGCCACCAUUUAAAGAGUGCGUAAUAGCUCACUAGUCGAGUGACUCUGCGCCGAAAAUGUACCGGGGCUAAAUACACCACCGAAGCUGCGGAUUGAUACCAAUGGUAUCAGUGGUAGGGGAGCGUUCUAAGGACAGUGAAGUCAGACCGGAAGGACUGGUGGAGUGCUUAGAAGUGAGAAUGCCGGUAUGAGUAGCGAAAGACGGGUGAGAAUCCCGUCCACCGAAUGCCUAAGGUUUCCUGAGGAAGGCUCGUCCGCUCAGGGUUAGUCAGGACCUAAGCCGAGGCCGACAGGCGUAGGCGAUGGACAACAGGUUGAUAUUCCUGUACCACCUCUUUAUCGUUUGAGCAAUGGAGGGACGCAGAAGGAUAGAAGAAGCGUGCGAUUGGUUGUGCACGUCCAAGCAGUUAGGCUGAUAAGUAGGCAAAUCCGCUUAUCGUGAAGGCUGAGCUGUGAUGGGGAAGCUCCUUAUGGAGCGAAGUCUUUGAUUCCCCGCUGCCAAGAAAAGCUUCUAGCGAGAUAAAAGGUGCCUGUACCGCAAACCGACACAGGUAGGCGAGGAGAGAAUCCUAAGGUGUGCGAGAGAACUCUGGUUAAGGAACUCGGCAAAAUGACCCCGUAACUUCGGGAGAAGGGGUGCUUUCUUAACGGAAAGCCGCAGUGAAUAGGCCCAAGCGACUGUUUAGCAAAAACACAGCUCUCUGCGAAGCCGUAAGGCGAAGUAUAGGGGGUGACACCUGCCCGGUGAUGGAAGGUUAAGGAGAGGGGUUAGCGUAAGCGAAGCUCUGAACUGAAGCCCCAGUAAACGGCGGCCGUAACUAUAACGGUCCUAAGGUAGCGAAAUUCCUUGUCGGGUAAGUUCCGACCCGCACGAAAGGUGUAACGAUUUGGGCACUGUCUCAACCAGAGACUCGGUGAAAUUAUAGUACCUGUGAAGAUGCAGGUUACCCGCGACAGGACGGAAAGACCCCGUGGAGCUUUACUGUAGCCUGAUAUUGAAUUUUGGUACAGUUUGUACAGGAUAGGCGGGAGCCUUUGAAACCGGAGCGCUAGCUUCGGUGGAGGUGCUGGUGGGAUACCGCCCUGACUGUAUUGAAAUUCUAACCUACGGGUCUUAUCGACCCGGGAGACAGUGUCAGGUGGGCAGUUUGACUGGGGCGGUCGCCUCCUAAAGUGUAACGGAGGCGCCCAAAGGUUCCCUCAGAAUGGUUGGAAAUCAUUCGUAGAGUGCAAAGGCAUAAGGGGCUUGACUGCGAGACCUACAAGUCGAGCAGGGACGAAAGUCGGGCUUAGUGAUCCGGUGGUUCCGCAUGGAAGGGCCAUCGCUCAACGGAUAAAAGCUACCCCGGGGAUAACAGGCUUAUCUCCCCCAAGAGUCCACAUCGACGGGGAGGUUUGGCACCUCGAUGUCGGCUCAUCGCAUCCUGGGGCUGUAGUCGGUCCCAAGGGUUGGGCUGUUCGCCCAUUAAAGCGGUACGCGAGCUGGGUUCAGAACGUCGUGAGACAGUUCGGUCCCUAUCCGUCGUGGGCGUAGGAAAUUUGAGAGGAGCUGUCCUUAGUACGAGAGGACCGGGAUGGACGCACCGCUGGUGUACCAGUUGUUCUGCCAAGGGCAUAGCUGGGUAGCUAUGUGCGGAAGGGAUAAGUGCUGAAAGCAUCUAAGCAUGAAGCCCCCCUCAAGAUGAGAUUUCCCAUAGCGUAAGCUAGUAAGAUCCCUGAAAGAUGAUCAGGUUGAUAGGUUCGAGGUGGAAGCAUGGUGACAUGUGGAGCUGACGAAUACUAAUAGAUCGAGGACUUAACCA
rnacentral:rRNA from 1 species